CUGGUGCUGUGGACAAGCAUGGUGGAUAUGACGAAGGUGUCUAGCUGUGAUCGGAAUCACUUGGGGUAACGCGUACUGAUUCGGGAACUGAAGUCAGGGGUUGAAUCCCGGGUCUCAGCCUCUGAACUGCCCGUGAGACUUGGUUUCUUGAUGUCGUGAGAGGUGGGUGGAACUUCGAGUGUAGAGGUGAAAUUCGUAGAUAGUCGCAAGAACGCCAGUUGCGAAGGCGGCCAACUGGCCCGAUACUGACGCUGAGGUGCGAAAGCGUGGGGAGCAAACAGGAUUAGAUACCCGGGUAAUC
rnacentral:rRNA from 1 species